GAUGAACGCUGGCGGCGUGCCUAAUACAUGCAAGUCGAGCGAACGGACGAGAAGCUUUCUUCUCUGAUGUUAGCGGCGGACGGGUGAGUAACACGUGGAUAACCUACCUAUAAGACUGGGAUAACUUCGGGAAACCGGAGCUAAUACCGGAUAAUAUUUUGAACCGCAUGGUUCAAACGUGAAAGACGGUCUUGCUGUCACUUAUAGAUGGAUCCGCGCUGCAUUAGCUAGUUGGUAAGGUAACGGCUUACCAAGGCAACGAUGCAUAGCCGACCUGAGAGGGUGAUCGGCCACACUGGAACUGAGACACGGUCCAGACUCCUACGGGAGGCAGCAGUAGGGAAUCUUCCGCAAUGGGCGAAAGCCUGACGGAGCAACGCCGCGUGAGUGAUGAAGGUCUUCGGAUCGUAAAACUCUGUUAUUAGGGAAGAACAUAUGUGUAAGUAACUGUGCACAUCUUGACGGUACCUAAUCAGAAAGCCACGGCUAACUACGUG
rnacentral:rRNA from 1 species